rnacentral:rRNA from 1 species
GACGAACGCUGGCGGCGUGCUUAACACAUGCAAGUCGAACGGAAAGGCCCUGCUUUUGUGUGGUGCUCGAGUGGCGAACGGGUGAGUAACACGUGAGUAACCUGCCCUUGACUUUGGGAUAACUUCAGGCAACUGGGGCUAAUACCGGAUAGGAGCUCCUGCUGCAUGGUGGGGGUUGGAAAGUUUCGGCGGUUGGGGAUGGACUCGCGGCUUAUCAGCUUGUUGGUGGGGUAGUGGCUUACCAAGGCUUUGACGGAUAGCCGGCCUGAGAGGGUGACCGGCCACAUUGGGACUGAGAUACGGCCCAGACUCCUACGGGAGGCAGCAGUGGGGAAUAUUGCACAGUGGGCGGAAGCCUGAUGCAGCAGCGCCGCGUGCGGGAUGACGGCCUUCGGGUUGUAAACCGCUUUCGCCUGUGACGAAGCGUGAGUGACGGUAAUGGGUAAAGAAGCACCGGCUAACUACGUG